UACGCACGCUGGCGGCGUGCUUAACACAUGCAAGUCGAACGGAAAGGCCCUGCUUUUGUGGGGUGCUCGAGUGGCGAACGGGUGAGUAACACGUGAGUAACCUGCCCUUGACUUUGGGAUAACUUCAGGAAACUGGGGCUAAUACCGGAUAGGAGCUCCUGCUGCAUGGUGGGGGUUGGAAAGUUUCGGCGGUUGGGGAUGGACUCGCGGCUUAUCAGCUUGUUGGUGGGGUAGUGGCUUACCAAGGCUUUGACGGGUAGCCGGCCUGAGAGGGUGACCGGCCACAGUGGGACUGAGAUACGGCCCAGACUCCUACGGGAGGCAGCAGUGGGGAAUAUUGCACAAUGGGCGGAAGCCUGAUGCAGCAACGCCGCGUGCGGGAUGACGGCCUUCGGGUUGUAAACCGCUUUCGCCUGUGACGAAGCGUGAGUGACGGUAAUGGGUAAAGAAGCACCGGCUAACUACGUG
rnacentral:rRNA from 1 species